GACGAACGCUGGCGGCGCGCCUAACACAUGCAAGUCGAACGAGCGAGAGAGAGCUUGCUUUCUCAAGCGAGUGGCGAACGGGUGAGUAACGCGUGAGGAACCUGCCUCAAAGAGGGGGACAACAGUUGGAAACGACUGCUAAUACCGCAUAAGCCCACGACCCGGCAUCGGGUAGAGGGAAAAGGAGCAAUCCGCUUUGAGAUGGCCUCGCUUCCGAUUAGCUAGUUGGUGAGGUAACGGCCCACCAAGGCGACGAUCGGUGGCCGGGCUGAGAGGUUGAGCGACCACAUUGGGACUGAGACACGGACCAGACUCCUACGGGAGGCAGCAGUGGGGAAUAUUGCACAAUGGGGGAAACCCUGAUGCAGCGACGCCGCGUGGAGGAAGAAGGUCUUCGGAUUGUAAACUCCUGUUGUUGGGGAAGAUAAUGACGGUACUCAACAAGGAAGUGACGGCUAACUACGUG
rnacentral:rRNA from 1 species